GGAGGCACUUAGGAAUUCUUACAAUUUUAAGCGGAAACAGCAAUUUCCGUACAUGGAUGUACGGAAAAGGUGAUACUGAGCCGGGAUGGCGAAUUAUCACCGGUUGCGUCUUGACUUCUUAUCUAAAAUAAAAAUUGUUAGAACUCCUUAGUGCCGCA
rnacentral:ncRNA from 1 species